GGGAAUGUGGCUUAGUGGUAGAGUGUUUGCCUUGGAUGUAUGAAGCCCUGGGUUCGAGUCCUCAGUACCA
rnacentral:tRNA from 1 species